rnacentral:lncRNA from 1 species
CAGGCAUAAGGCAUGCUGAAGUGGUCUCAAAACAGGUCAGAACCAAUAACGGAGAGAUGAGAAACUCUUGCCUCCAACUAUCUCCAGAACCACCUGUAGUCCCCUGUACUGAGAGCUAUUUAAUGCAGAUUGAGGAGUGAAGCUAAAGUUGUUCAUGGAGGCCAACCAUCCUGCCAGAGAGCUAGAAGAU